CAGCCGCCGCGGUAAUACGUAGGGUGCAAGCGUUAAUCGGAAUUACUGGGCGUAAAGCGUGCGCAGGCGGUUAUAUAAGAAAGAUGUGAAAUCCCCGGGCUCAACCUGGGAACUGCAUUUGUGACUGUAUAGCUAGAGUACGGCAGAGGGGGAUGGAAUUCCGCGUGUAGCAGUGAAAUGCGUAGAUAUGCGGAGGAACACCGAUGGCGAAGGCAAUCCCCUGGGCCUGUACUGACGCUCAUGCACGAAAGCGUGGGGAGCAAACAGGAUUAGAUACCCCAGUAGUCCCUGUCUCUUAUAC
rnacentral:rRNA from 1 species